UACGGGGGGGCAAGCGUUGUUCGGAAUUACUGGGCGUAAAGGGCUCGUAGGCGGCCAACUAAGUCAUACGUGAAAUCCCUCGGCUUAACCGGGGAACUGCGUCUGAUACUGGAUGGCUUGAGUUCGGGAGAGGGAUGCGGAAUUCCAGGUGUAGCGGUGAAAUGCGUAGAUAUCUGGAGGAACACCGGUGGCGAAGGCGGCAUCCUGGACCGAUACUGACGCUGAGGAGCGAAAGCCAGGGGAGCAAACGGGG
rnacentral:rRNA from 1 species